rnacentral:rRNA from 1 species
UACAGAGGUCCCAAGCGUUGUUCGGAUUCAUUGGGCGUAAAGGGCGCGUAGGCGGCGGGGUAAGUCGGGUGUGAAAUCUCAGAGCUCAACUCUGAAACUGCACUCGAUACUGCUUUGCUAGAGGACUGGAGAGGAGAUUGGAAUUCACGGUGUAGCAGUGAAAUGCGUAGAGAUCGUGAGGAAGACCAGUGGCGAAGGCGGAUCUCUGGACAGUUCCUGACGCUGAGGCGCGAAGGCCAGGGGAGCAAACGG